CAAUACGAGAGUAUCCUAGUGGCGAACGGGUGAGUAACGCGUUGGUGACCUACCCCAAAGUGUGGGAUAACAGUCCGAAAGGAUUGCUAAUACCGCAUGUGGUUAUCGGAUUUAGAAACCGGUAACUAAAGGAGCAAUUCGCUUUGGGAGGGACCUGCGUCCCAUCAGCUAGUUGGUGAGGUAAUGGCUCACCAAGGCGACGACGGGUAGGGGACCUGAGAGGGUGGCCCCCCACAAUGGAACUGAAACACGGUCCAUACACCUACGGGUGGCAGCAGUAGGGAAUAUUGCACAAUGGGCGAAAGCCUGAUGCAGCAACGCCGCGUGUGUGAUGAAGGCCUUCGGGUCGUAAAGCACUUUUCUGGGAGAUGAGAAAGGACAGUAUCCCAGGAAUAAGUCUCGGCUAACUACGUGCCAGCAGCCGCGGUAAAACGUAGGAGGCGAGCGUUAUCCGGAUUCACUGGGCGUAAAGCGCGUGCAGGUGGCGCGGUAAGUUGGGCGUGAAAUCUCCCGGCUCAACUGGGAGAGGUCGUCCAAUACUACCGUGCUUGAGAGCAGAAGAGGAAGAUGGAAUUCCCGGUGUAGUGGUGAAAUGCGUAGAUAUCGGGAGGAACACCAGUGGCGAAGGCGAUCUUCUGGUCUGUUUCUGACACUCAGACGCGACAGCUAGGGUAGUAAACGGGAUUAGAGACCCCGGUAAUCCUAGCCGU
rnacentral:rRNA from 1 species